ACGCUCGACACCUACGGGGCAGCAGUGGGGAAUAUUGCACAAUGGGGGAAACCCUGAUGCAGCGACGCCGCGUGAGCGAAGAAGUAUUUCGGUAUGUAAAGCUCUAUCAGCAGGGAAGAAGAAAGACGGUACCUGACUAAGAAGCCCCGGCUAACUACGUGCCAGCAGUCGCGGUAAUCUGAGCGGGCUGGCAAGGC
rnacentral:rRNA from 1 species